AGAAUCGAAGAACUUCGACUGGAGAUUCUGUCAAUUGACACAGAGGACUCUGGAAGUUUGCGUGUUGAUUUCCUGGGUUGCAUGGAAGAAAUAACGACCACAACUCCGGCUGCAACGACGACUAAAGUUGUGACAACAACUACCCAGACCUCUACAUCCACCACAGCAGGAUACUGUAUGGAGCCAAUGGACGGCGAGCAAGGACUUGAG